GAAAUUUCUCGUGACAUGAUUUUGUUGAUAUCAUGGAAGAAUUGGACACACAGCAUAUCAAUCACCACUUCUAUUGCAAUAGUAGGACAAGAAAGGAGACUGAACAAGGAGUUCAUCAACACGGCUCGUCCUGCACUGCAUUCUCAGGAGGCCGAACUAAGCACAAACUCUUUUCAUCAUAUUUACAUCGUACAAUCAAUCCUGACAGCAUAUGCAUCGGAGUUGUACACCACAAAACAGAAAGAACUCGACCAAAAAAAAAUUUCCUACAAGGAAAAUCUCAAGAACACCUCCUAUCUGUGCAUGUGUAUACGUAUCUUCAGGUCACAUUAUGUCAGACGCUACACUGUUUCAUCCCCUUUGGUGUCUGAUGGCCCCCUUUUAACCUUACCUGCAUGAUGGAUUAACCAACUAAGUAAUUGUUCAGUAAAAUGACUAAUCCAUUUUCAUGGUGACUAAUUAGAAUAAGGAAACUUUUUGGCAGUUAUUCCAUUUUGCCUAAAAUAUUCGGCGAAUUGCAACUUUGCAAGCCUAUUUGAUUCCUCAUCGUUCUCACCGAAAGCAGAAUGGCAACAUGUCGAUGUGCUAUAUAACUCAGAGAAAUUGCCUGGAUUAUUCUCGAGAAUCACGCUUUCGGUUUGCACGAAUCUCAAAGCACACUGGAUGAACCUUGCAGCGUGUGAUCAUGGCUGCCACUAAAGCCCAAUUGGAUCGCAAUGGUGCUUUUUUUUUUUUUGCAUCUAGACGUGUAUUGUGAUCGAAAAGAUUUCACUUUUUGUGUGGCGCAAUUGAAAAUUAGAAUUGAGAGUGGUGGUACUCACGGCCUCGACGUCGAUCCGGUACACGAGCAGGCGGCGGCGCUCGCGGCAGCUGGUCCGGUACGCGACGGCGAGGUGCGCGGCCGCGAGCGCCAGCGACAGCAGGAGCAUGGGCUCCGGCCCCGCCGCC
rnacentral:lncRNA from 1 species